rnacentral:rRNA from 1 species
AAUGAACGCUGGCGGCAUGCCUAACACAUGCAAGUCGAACGGAAACACACUGAGAUUGUGCGCUUACCGGUGGCCGGUGGCGUAAGGGACAGGAAUGUAUCCGAUCCUUCUUUUUCGUGUAGCAUAACGUAAGUAAACCUACUAUACUAUCGCAUAUGAUGUACCGGGGUGAGCGGUGGAUAGUUUCGGCUUUCGCGUCUGUAUUCGCGGAUGUCGGUCUUGCUAGUUGGGUGGCUAAACGCCUACCCAGGCAACGAUCCGUAGCCCGUCUGAGAGGAGGAUAGGCCACACUGGAACUGAGACACGGUCAAGACUCCUACGGGAGGCAGCAGUGGGGAAUGUUAGGCAAUGGGCGCAAGUCUGACCCAGUCAUCCCGCGUGAGUGACGAAGGCCUUCGGGUUGUAAAGACCUUUUGUUGGGAAAGAAAAGCUGUCGGCUGAUACACAGCGGUAGUGACGGUACCGAAAGAAUAAGCACCGGCUAACUACGUG